CCGGCGUGAGAGGGAGACCGGCCACACUGGAACUGAGACCCGCUCCAGAGUCUUAUGGGCAGCAGCAGGAGGGAAUAUUCUGCAAUGGGGGCAAACCGGAGGGAGCAACGCGGGGUGAAAGAUGAAGGCUUUCGGGUUGUAAAUUUUUGUCAUCAGGGAAGAAGAAAGUGACGGUACCUGAGGAGGAAGCCCCGGCUAACUACGUGCCAGCAGCCGCGGUAAAACGUAGGGGGCGAGCGUUGUCCGGAAUUACUGGGCGUAAAGGGCGCGUAGGCGGUUAUCCAAGUCAGGGGUGAAAACCUUGGGGUCAACUCAGGGCCUGCCUGUGAAACUGGGUAACUUGAAGGCAGGAGAGGGGAGUGGAAUUCCCAGUGUAGCGGUGAAAUGCGUAGAUAAUCGGAGGAACUCCAGAGGGGAAGGGGGCUCUUUCGCGUAACCCUGACGGUUAGGCGCGAAAGCGUGGGGAUCCAACCGGGUUAGAUAACCUGGUAGUUCCACCCGUAAACGAUGGGUCAUAGGGUAGGAGG
rnacentral:rRNA from 1 species